CCUACGGGUGGCUGCAGUAAGGAAUAUUGGGCAAUGGACGAAAGUCUGACCCAGCCAUGCCGCGUGAAGGAUUAAGGUCCUCUGGAUUGUAAACUUCUUUUCUCUGGGGCGAAAACCAGCUAUUCUUAGCUAUUUGACAGUACCAGAGGAAUAAGCACCGGCUAACUCCGUGCCAGCAGCCGCGGUAAUACGGAGGGUGCAAGCGUUAUCCGGAUUCACUGGGUUUAAAGGGUGCGUAGGUGGGCUAGUAAGUCCGUGGUGAAAUCCCCGAGCUU
rnacentral:rRNA from 1 species